rnacentral:rRNA from 1 species
UUCGGAUUGCAGUCUGCAACUCGACUGCAUGAAGCUGGAAUCGCUAGUAAUCGCGGAUCAGAAUGCCGCGGUGAAUACGUUCCCGGGUCUUGUACACACCGCCCGUCACACCAUGGGAGUCAGUAACGCCCGAAGUCAGUGACCUAACCGAAAGGAAGGAGCUGCCGAAGGUGGAGCCGGUAACUGGGGUGAAGUCGUAACAAGGUACC